UACGGAGGGUGCAAGCGUUAUCCGGAUUCACUGGGUUUAAAGGGUGCGUAGGCGGGCAGGUAAGUCAGUGGUGAAAUCUCCGGGCUUAACCCGGAAACUGCCGUUGAUACUAUCUGUCUUGAAUAUCGUGGAGGUAAGCGGAAUAUGUCAUGUAGCGGUGAAAUGCUUAGAUAUGACAUAGAACACCCAUUGCGAAGGCAGCUAACUACACGAUCAUUGACGCUGAGGCACGAAAGCGUGGGGAGCAAACAGG
rnacentral:rRNA from 1 species